rnacentral:rRNA from 1 species
UACGUAGGGUGCGAGCGUUAAUCGGAAUUACUGGGCGUAAAGUGUGCGCAGGCGGCCGCGCAAGUCGAGUGUGAAAUCCCCGAGCUUAACUCGGGAAUUGCGCUCGAAACUACGUGGCUGGAGUGUGGCAGAGGAAGGUGGAAUUCCACGUGUAGCGGUGAAAUGCGUAGAUAUGUGGAGGAACACCGAUGGCGAAGGCAGCCUUCUGGGCCAACACUGACGCUGAGGCGCGAAAGCUAGGGUAGCAAACGGG